rnacentral:rRNA from 1 species
AACGAACGCUGGCGGCAUGCCUAACACAUGCAAGUCGAACGAGACCUUCGGGUCUAGUGGCGCACGGGUGCGUAACGCGUGGGAAUCUGCCCUUAGGUUCGGAAUAACUCAGGGAAACUUGAGCUAAUACCGGAUAAUGACGCAAGUCCAAAGAUUUAUCGCCUAGGGAUGAGCCCGCGUAGGAUUAGCUAGUUGGUGGGGUAAAAGCCUACCAAGGCGACGAUCCUUAGCUGGUCNGAGAGGAUGAUCAGCCACACUGGGACUGAGACACGGCCCAGACUCCUACGGGAGGCAGCAGUGGGGAAUAUUGGACAAUGGGCGAAAGCCUGAUCCAGCAAUGCCGCGUGAGUGAUGAAGGCCUUAGGGUUGUAAAGCUCUUUUACCCGGGAUGAUAAUGACAGUACCGGGAGAAUAAGCUCCGC